rnacentral:rRNA from 1 species
AGAUUGAACGCUAGCGGGAUGCUUUACACAUGCAAGUCGAACGGCAGCGCGGACUUCGGUCUGGCGGCGAGUGGCGAACGGGUGAGUAAUAUAUCGGAACGUGCCCAGUAGCGGGGGGAUAACUACGCGAAAGCGUGGCUAAUACCGCAUACGCCCUACGGGGGAAAGGGGGGGAUUCUUUCGAGAACCUCUCACUAUUGGAGCGGCCGAUAUCAGAUUAGCUAGUUGGUGAGGUAAAGGCUCACCAAGGCGACGAUCUGUAGCUGGUUUGAGAGGACGACCAGCCACACUGGGACUGAGACACGGCCCAGACUCCUACGGGAGGCAGCAGUGGGGGAAUUUUGGACAAUGGGGGAAACCCUGGAUCCAAGCCAUCCCGCGUGUGCGAUGAAGGCCUUCGGGUGUAAGCACUUC